rnacentral:tmRNA from 1 species
GGGGCUGCACUGGUUUCGACGUGGGUACGGAAUCGCUGUGGUGCAUGUCGAGCUGAAUGCGCUCGUAAAACAGAUUCAAAAAAAACUAACUGCAAACGACGAACGUUUCGCACUCGCUGCUUAAACACCAGUGAGCCUUACAACAGCAGGCCGAUGGGCUGGGCAAGGGGUCUCUAGCGCAAGUUAAGGAUUCCAGGCUGUAAGGUCAUUCACAUCGGCUGGCGCUGAACCGGGUACCUUGGUUUGGAGCAAGACAAUAGGGUACUGGCGACUGUGAAAGCGUGUGGCUGCGCGUUCACAAGGGCGAGACUCAAAUCAGACCACUAAACAUGUAGAUCUGCUCGAAGAUGGCUUGCGGACGCGGGUUCAAAUCCCGCCAGCUCCACCA